GGGGCCUAACCACGGAUCACCGUGACCACGCCCCUUUAGAAAAAAAGUCUUGCAGCAGGGGCACCUGGGCUGGAGGCGGAGCUGUCUUGGGAGAGGAGGAGGAGGCACUAGAGUCGGGAUCUGCUGCCCUGUAAAGCGGUCUCUGCCCCCAAGCUCCGCUGCUGUGGUGAUGCCUGUCUGGUUGCCUAUAACUGAGGUGAUCGGGGCUCAUCACUUUGGGGACUACCCAAUAGUGCCUGUAGUGGCUGGGACAAGACUGCAGAGAUGCGCCGCCUGGGUGGGGAAGAUGGAUCCGCUGAUUCCAAAUCCACACUGCGCGUCUUACUUGGCCUCCUGGAAUAUGUGACUACAGUGAAUUCUUACCUGCAAUCCCAGCACCCACAUCAGUUGGCAGUGGCCUGUCUGGAGCGCUGGUCUGGCGUACUGUUGAAAAAUUUAAACAAACAUUAUGACCAUACUUGGAAAACACAUUGUUAACUGCAAAACCUUAGUGUACUGUAACCAUUUUGUACGUAAUGUAAAGUAAACUAAUUUCUGCUUAAA